rnacentral:tRNA from 2 species
GCGGAUAUGGCGUAAUUGGUAGCCGCGCCAGACUUAGGAUCUGGUGCCUUUAUGGCGUGGGGGUUCGAGUCCCUUUAUCCGCA